rnacentral:rRNA from 1 species
AUGAACGCUAGCGACAGGCCUAACACAUGCAAGUCAGGGGCAGCACAAGGAGCAAUCUGAGGUGGCGACCGGCGCACGGGUGAGUAACACGUAUGCAACCUGCCUGUAAGCGGGGAAUAACCCGUUGAAAGACGGACUAAUACCGCAUAAUACUAAAUUACUGCAUGGUGAUUUAUUUAAACAUUUAUGGCUUACAGAUGGGCAUGCGCAUGAUUAGCUAGUUGGAGAGGUAACGGCUCCCCAAGGCAACGAUCAUUAGGGGUUCUGAGAGGAAGGUCCCCCACACUGGUACUGAGACACGGACCAGACUCCUACGGGAGGCAGCAGUGAGGAAUAUUGGUCAAUGGACGAGAGUCUGAACCAGCCAAGUCGCGUGCAGGAAGAAUGUCCUAAUGGAUUGUAAACUGCUUUUGCAGGGGAAUAAAGUGCAUCACGUGUGAUGUUUUGUAUGUACUCUGCGAAUAAGGAUCGGCUAACUCCGUGCCAGCCGCUGC